UGCGACGCCCAACACACAAAACAAGCGGUGAGUGCUUUGGGGUGGGGUGACUGCGUACCUUUUGUAUAAUGGGUCAGCGACUUAUAUUCUGUAGCAAGGUUAACCGUAUAGGGGAGCCGAAGGGAAACCGAGUCUUAACUGGGCGUUAAGUUGCAGGGUAUAGACCCGAAACCCGGUGAUCUAGCCAUGGGCAGGUUGAAGGUUGGGUAACACUAACUGGAGGACCGAACCGACUAAUGUUGAAAAAUUAGCGGAUGACUUGUGGCUGGGGGUGAAAGGCCAAUCAAACCGGGAGAUAGCUGGUUCUCCCCGAAAGCUAUUUAGGUAGCGCCUCGUGAACUCAUCUUCGGGGGUAGAGCACUGUUUCGGCUAGGGGGUCAUCCCGACUUACCAACCCGAUGCAAACUGCGAAUACCGAAGAAUGUUAUCACGGGAGACACACGGCGGGUGCUAACGUCCGUCGUGAAGAGGGAAACAACCCAGACCGCCAGCUAAGGUCCCAAAGUCACAGUUAAGUGGGAAACGAUGUGGGAAGGCUCAGACAGCCAGGAUGUUGGCUUAGAAGCAGCCAUCAUUUAAAGAAAGCGUAAUAGCUCACUGGUCGAGUCGGCCUGCGCGGAAGAUGUAACGGGGCUAAACUGUGCACCGAAGCUGCGGCAGCGACGCUUAUGCGUUGUUGGGUAGGGGAGCGUUCUGUAAGCCUGCGAAGGUGUCCUGUGAGGGAUGCUGGAGGUAUCAGAAGUGCGAAUGCUGACAUAAGUAACGAUAA
rnacentral:rRNA from 2 species